rnacentral:tRNA from 1 species
GAGCCAUUUGGUAGCUCACAAAGCUCAUAACCUUGGUGGGGUUACGGGUUCGAU